rnacentral:rRNA from 1 species
UACGAAGGGGGCUAGCGUUGCUCGGAAUCACUGGGCGUAAAGGGUGCGUAGGCGGGUCUUUAAGUCAGGGGUGAAAUCCUGGAGCUCAACUCCAGAACUGCCUUUGAUACUGAAGAUCUUGAGUUCGGGAGAGGUGAGUGGAACUGCGAGUGUAGAGGUGAAAUUCGUUGAUAUUCGCAAGAACACCAGUGGCGAAGGCGGCUCACUGGCUCGGUACUGACGCUGAGGUGCGAAAGCGUGGGGAGCAAACAGG